rnacentral:rRNA from 1 species
AGUGAACGCUGGCGGUAGGCCUAACACAUGCAAGUCGAACGGCGGCACAGUAAGAGCUUGCUCUUACGGGUGGCGAGUGGCGGACGGGUGAGGAAUACAUCGGAAUCUACUUUUUCGUGGGGGAUAACGUAGGGAACUUACGCUAAUACCGCAUACGACCUACGGGUGAAAGCAGGGGAUCUUCGGACCUUGCGCGAUUGAAUGAGCCGAUGUCGGAUUAGCUAGUUGGCGGGGUAAAGGCCCACCAAGGCGACGAUCCGUAGCUGGUCUGAGAGGAUGAUCAGCCACACUGGAACUGAGACACGGUCCAGACUCCUACGGGAGGCAGCAGUGGGGAAUAUUGGACAAUGGGCGCAAGCCUGAUCCAGCCAUACCGCGUGGGUGAAGAAGGCCUUCGGGUUGUAAAGCCCUUUUGUUGGGAAAGAAAAGCAGCAGGUUAAUACCCCGCUGUUCUGACGGUACCCAAAGAAUAAGCACCGGCUAACUUCGUG